AGCUCCAAUAGCGUAUAUUAAUGUUGCUGCAGUUAAAAAGCUCGUAGUUGGAUUUGUGCUGGGGACGUCUGGUCAGCACUCAGUGUUGGACUUGGACGUUCCUGUCAUCCUCGGGGGAAAUUGUCUGGCAUUAGGUUGUCGGGCAGGGACCCUCGUCGUUUACUGUGAAUAAAUUAGAGUGUUCAAAGCAGGCGGUUGCUGUGAAUACAUUAGCAUGGAAUAAUGUUAUAGGACCUCGGUACUAUUUCGUUGGUUUGUGCACCGGGGUAAUGGUUAAUAGGGACAGUUGGGGGUAUUCGUAUUCCAUUGUCAGAGGUGAAAUUCUUGGAUUUCUGGAAGACGAACUAGUGCGAAAGCAUUUACCAAGGAUGUUUUCA
rnacentral:rRNA from 1 species